CACACCCGUUCCCAUGCCGAACACGGAAGUUAAG
rnacentral:rRNA from 1 species